GUGUUCACAUUAGCAGCAUAGAUACUAAAGUUAGAAUGAUACAGAGGAAAUUAGCGUGGCCCUUGCAUAAGGAGGGCACACAUUUGUGAAGUGUUCUAUAUUUUU
rnacentral:snRNA from 1 species